AGGUUGGCUCAGAAGCAGCCAUCCUUUAAAGAGUGCGUAACAGCUCACUAGUCGAGUGACCCUGCGCCGAAAAUGUACCGGGGCUAAGCCUGAUACCGAAACUGCGGAUUGUAGGAAACUAUAGUGGUAGGGGAGCGUUGUAUACGAGCAGAAGCCGUACCGUGAGGAGCGGUGGAUUGUAUAGAAGUGAGAAUGCCGGUGUGAGUAGCGAGAUGUAGGUGAGAAUCCUACACACCGAAAGCCCAAGGAUUCCAGGGGAAGGUUCGUCCGCCCUGGGUAAGUCGGGACCUAACGCGAGGCCGAAAGGCGUAGUGGAUGGAAAGCAGGCGAAAGAUUCCUGCACCCGUAUAUGGAGCGAAGGAGUGACGGAGACGGAUAGUGUGACCCUCUUAAUGGAUUGAGGGCGAAGCGAAGCGGCUGGUUACCAGGCAAAUCCGGUAACCAAAAGGCUAGAGCGUGACAGGUAAGCGAAAUCUUAGGAAAGUAGCGAAGCACAUGAUGACGGCUUCCAGGAAAAGCUUCUGGCAAUGCAUAUGCGGCCCGUACCAAAACCGACACAGGUGGGCAGGGAGAGAAUCCCGAGGUGAGCGAGAGAACUGUUGCCAAGGAACUCGGCAAAAUGACUCCGUAAGUUAGCGAGAAGGAGUGCUUAAGCAAUUAAGCCGCAGUGAAGAGGCCCAAGCGACUGUUUAACUAAAACACAGCUCUCUGCGAAGUCGCAAGACGAAGUAUAGGGGGUGACACCUGCCCGGUGCUGGAAGGUUAAGAGGAUCUGUUAAGAGCGAUCUGAAGCAGUGAUCCGAAGCCCCAGUGAACGGCGGCCGUAACUAUAACGGUCCUAAGGUAGCGAAAUUCCUUGUCAGGUAAGUUCUGACCCGCACGAAAGGUGUAACGAUUUGGGCGCUGUCUCGGCAGCAGACUCGGUGAAAUCUUAGUACCUGUGAAAAUGCAGGUUACCCGCAACUAGACGGAAAGACCCCAUGGAGCUUUACUGCAGCCUGAUAUUGAAUUCUGGUCAUACAUGUACAGGAUAGGUGGGAGACAAAGAGACGUGCACGCCAGUGUACGAGGAGUCGACGUUGGGAUACCACUCUUGUGUGACCGGGGUUCUAACCUGGUAUCGAGAACAGGUACGGGGAGAGUGUCAGGUGGGCAGUUUGACUGGGGCGGUCGCCUCCCAAAGAGUAACGGAGGCGCCCAAAGGUACGCUCAGAUUGGAUGGAAACCAAUCGUCGAGUGCAAUUGCAGAAGCGUGCUUGACUGUGAGACAAACAAGUCGAACAGGGACGAAAGUCGGGAAUAGUGAUCCGGCGGUGCCGAAUGGAAGGGCCGUCGCUCAACGGAUAAAAGCUACCCUGGGGAUAACAGGCUGAUCUCCCCCAAGAGUCCACAUCGACGGGGAGGUUUGGCACCUCGAUGUCGGCUCAUCGCAUCCUGGGGCUGAAGUAGGUCCCAAGGGUUGGGCUGUUCGCCCAUUAAAGCGGUACGCGAGCUGGGUUCAGAACGUCGUGAGACAGUUCGGUCCCUAUCUGUUGUGGGCGAAGGAGAUCUGCGGAGAGCUGUCCUCAGUACGAGAGGACCGGGAUGGACCUACCGCUGGUGCACCGGUUGUUCCGCCAGGGGCAUAGCCGGGUAGCUAAGUAGGGAAAGGAUAAGCGCUGAAAGCAUCUAAGCACGAAGCCUACUCCAAGAUGAGAUCUCCCAUUCGCAAGAAGUAAGACCCCUUAAAGACGAUAAGGUAGAUAGGCCAGGGAUGGAAGUGCAGUGAUGUACGGAGUUGACUGGUACUAAUCGGUCGAGGACUUAAUCAG
rnacentral:rRNA from 1 species